GACGAACCGUGCGAACGUUAUUCGGAAUCACUGGGCUUAAAGCGCGUGUAGGCGGAUGGGGACGUCGGUCGCUGAAAGCCCCCGGCUCAACCGGGGAAGUGGCGCCGAAACGCCCCGUCUGGAGGGACGUAGGGGGACCUGGAACUUCCGGUGGAGCGGUGAAAUGCGUUGAGAUCGGAAGGAACGCCCGUGGCGAAAGCGAGGUCCUGGACGUCUGCUGACGCUGAGACGCGAAAGCUAGGGGAGCGAACGGG
rnacentral:rRNA from 1 species